AUUGGGAACGGGAGAAUAGAUGGUUCAUUAUAAGUUUCACUCCUCUUCUCCAGAAUUUCAGUUUUACCACCAUCUUCUUCGAUGUAGAGAAGAUGACGGGUGAAGUUGAAAUCAUCGUUUCUAAUCUAAUUCAACUUAAAAAUGAAAACGGACAUCAAGAUUUGACAGAAGCUCUUUUAUGAAACCUUAGGAGACUUAGCAAAGAGAUUAAGCAUUUUUGUAACCCUAAAAUUCUCCAUCGGUAAAGAAGAACAAGAAGGGAGACCUAUUGCUCCUCCAUCAGCCAUUAGAGGUUGUUGGAGGUGAUGUUACUGCUCCGCCGCAUGCAUCUGCAAAGAGGUAUUUCAACUUGGCGAAACAUCCAGAUAUUGAUAGGCUUCUCUUAAAUAUAGCAGUGAUUAAGCUUAUGCAAAGCUCUAAAUCAAGCCAAUAAGUUCGUGGAAAAUUUUCUUGGACACAUUCCUAUUGGAUUUUGGAAUGAUGAUGGUUAUGCGAGGGUGGUAAGCCUACUAGAUCGAAUUCAGUCCAAGGUAAUAUUCAAAUUCCCUUAAUUUAUUGUACUCUAAUUCACAUAUGCCUCCCUUGAAGUAGUAUUCUUACUCGAUUUUCCUUAAUGUUCCAAUGAUUUUUCCUACAUAUUACUAUUCCAGUACAUAUUUUUUUUAUAUGUUGACAAGAUGAUGUUUUGGUUCUUAGUUUCAUUUAUACAGAUUAACUACAGAGGAAUAAUAAGGAAUUAUGCCAAUUAGUAAGUAAAUGCUUUCUUGAAUUCUUGCAACAUUCGUUUCAGUUGUUGGAGAAACCGAGAAAUGAGAACUAGAUUGGAGUUCGGAGAAAAUUUUGGAUGUUGGUAAUAGUAUGUACCGAGAAUUGCUGGUAAAGCUUCCAAAGAAGAAACCACAGUGCAUCGAAAAUCUAGGGAAGUUACCUGACUAAGAAUUUUUAUAUAGAUUGUUGGGGAAAAUGAGUUCAAAGUGUAUAAAAGAUAACGAGAAUGUAUGACAGACUCACAUAUUGCCUUGGUUUAACUUACUAACCUGACUCAAAAUCCCACGACAUCAUGCAAGUGAUUGCGGGUGACUGUAUAUGUUGUCAUGAAGUUGCAUACUGAAUCAUUCUUUUUGUGUUUCUUUUACGAUAUUUUUCUAUUAAGCAUAAAAAGAAAAGUUCCCUUACAGUACCUUAGAAGUCACUUACUUCCUUAUGCAGUUGCCAUUUUUUUUAUCACCCCUCUUCUUAUUUAGUAGUUAGAUUCCCCAAACUGAUAUUAUUACUCAUUUAUAUACAAGCCAAGUCAUCUACCAUCCUAGGACAUGUUUUUCUCUAUACCCACAAUAGGAAGGUUUUCAUUUUGUGGAUGUAGUCACUCUGAUUAACUUGUUGUUAUACAUUUUGAAACAAAUACUUUUUAAAGCAAAAUCUACUAACUUGAAGGCAAAAACUCGACGCAAGCCUCAAAGUACAUUAUCUCACUGAAAAUGUGCAUAUUACUGCUUUGGUAAAUACAUGUCAUUGUUGUUUUCAGUUUUUUUUUUUCUUAUACACUUGAGGUAACCUGUGUAUGAGUUUUGUAGGUAAUCUUAUACACUUGAAACUUCUUAAAUCUCAAGUGUAUGAGUUUUCUUAUACACUUGAAACUUCUUAAAUCUUAUUCUUAUAUGAUACUUCUUGAUGUGAACUUCAUAAGUGAUUUAGUGAGAGACUGGAUUACAAAAGAAGGCCAGUAGCAUCUGAAACUUCUCAAGAGAAGCUACUUAUGAUGGGGCUGCAUAUAUAUGUGCCACAGCUGAGCUUACACCUCUUCCAGCAAAUACCGUUCCGUUGUUACUCGCUGAUCGCAGAGGUUAUGGGGGGUUUCAACCAACCUGCUAACAACGGUGAAACCACUCAAGGAAGGUUAUGGAAAUCGGUUUUUGAUGCGCGAACUGACCCCUGAGAACCUGAGGAGAGACUCGACCAGAGAGUUCGCCAGAAAUAUGGAUGACCAUGGAAUCAAUGUUGCACCUAUGGUUGUUGUUACGGCGGGUGCAUAUGAGAAAUAUUAUCGGAGUACACACUAUAAUGCUAAUAUCCCUUUACAAGCUAAGUAGACUUUUCCUUAAUCCAAUCUUUGUUAAUUAUUCACCUCUGUGUCUGCCCAUGCAAGUAGUCGCUGGCCUCAACAAGUGCAGCCAAAAUCUACUUCAACAUGAACAUUUUAGAAGUGACAGAUAUUAGAGAAAAGUACAAAACUUAUCCAAAUAUUGAUUCGGUUGUCUUCUACUUGGUUAUAGACACGGAGGAAAACUGAUCAAUGUCAUUUAUAGUACUAUACUUGCCACAGGUCCUGCCAACUAAUCAUACCGUCAAAUCACACUACCCAAGGGAAAGCUUAUUCCCUACCGACCUUUCUGCGUUGGAACGGGAUGGGAUGAACGUUUAGACGCUUACAUGUUUGAUCAAUAUUUUACUUUUCUAUAUUUUGGUUCUAAAUUUCUAAUGUAAUGGGCAUGCGAAACAAAGGACAAACUUUUCUUCUUUUUAUUUUUUAUGCAAGAAAUUUUUAGCUAUA